GGUGCACCAGCGCUUCAACAGGGCCAUGGAAGAAACAGAAAAGACCACCACUACCUACCUGGACAACGGCACCCACCCCAUACAAGACUGGGCGCAGUUCGAGUCCGACUCAUCUCUGUUUCCUUAACGCCCAGGCGUAGGUGCGCACAGGCGCGUGCUGAGAGCGAACCCCGACUGCAGGGGGGAAGACCCCGAGGGCCAGGACACCGAAACAGAGCGCUUCCUAGCCACCACCUCCACCGGUCGCCGCGUGUCCUUCAACGAGGCUGCCCUGUUUGAACAGAGCCGCAAGGCUCAGGACAAGGGCCGCCGGUACACCCUGACAGAAGGGGAUUUCCAUCACCUCAAGAAUGCCCGCCUCACCCACCUCCACCUACCGCCUCUCAAAAUCGCUACCAU
rnacentral:lncRNA from 1 species